CCUACGGGCGGCAGCAGUCGAGCAUUCUUCACAAUGGGGGAAACCCUGAUGGUGCGACGCCGCGUGGGGGAAUGAAGGUCUUCGGAUUGUAAACCCCUGUCAUGUGGGAGCAAAUUAAAAAGAUCGUACCACAAGAGGAAGAGACGGCUAACUCUGUGCCAGCAGCCGCGGUAAUACAGAGGUCUCAAGCGUUGUUCGGAAUCACUGGGCGUAAGGCGUGCGUAGGCUGUUUCGUAAGUCGUGUGUGAAAGGCGCGGGCUCAACCCGCGGACGGCACAUGAUACUGCGAGACUAGAGUAAUGGAGGGGGAACCGGAAUUCUCGGGGUAGCAGUGAAAUGCGUAGAUAUCGAGAGGAACACUCGUGGCGAAGGCGGGUUCCUGGACAUUAACUGACGCUGAGGCACGAAGGCCAGGGGAGCGAAAGGGAUUAGAUACCCGGGUAGUC
rnacentral:rRNA from 1 species